UCUUGGUGGCUUAGAGGUUAAAGCGUCUGCCUGCAACGCGGGAGACCUGGGUUUGAUCCCUGGGUCGGGAA
rnacentral:tRNA from 1 species